CCUACGGGAGGCAGCAGUGGGGAAUAUUGCACAAUGGGCGCAAGCCUGAUGCAGCGACGCCGCGUGGGGGAUGAAGGCCUUCGGGUUGUAAACCCCUUUCAGCAGGGAAGCGGUACCUGCAGAAGAAGCGCCGGCUAACUACGUGCCAGCAGCCGCGGUAAUACGUAGGGCGCAAGCGUUGUCCGGAAUUAUUGGGCGUAAAGAGCUCGUAGGCGGUUUGUCGCGUCUGCUGUGAAAGUCCGAGGCUCAACCUCGGAUCUGCAGUGGGUACGGGCAGACUAGAGUGUGGUAGGGGAGACUGGAAUUCCUGGUGUAGCGGUGGAAUGCGCAGAUAUCAGGAGGAACACCAAUGGCGAAGGCAGGUCUCUGGCCCAACUGACGCUGAGGAGCGAAAGCAUGGGGAGCGAACAGGAUUAGAUACCCUGGUAGUC
rnacentral:rRNA from 1 species